CUUUUAAAGUGUGGUCUUAUCUUUUGCUAUCGCCACACUUUAAAAGCGUGGCAAUAUCUCGUCUACUGUCACGCAUGUAAAAGCGUGGCCAUAUCUACUCUAUUGCCACGCUUUAAAAGCGUGGCCCUACCUUCCACAUAUGAUCACGCUUUAAAAGCGUGGCCAUAUUUCCCACCUACAGCCACGUUUUUACAAGUGGCCGUUUGUAAAAAAACGUGGCAAUAGGCUGAAAAAAGCGUGGCGGUAGCUCAAAAAGCGUGGCGAAAAGCUAUCGCCACGCUUUUUCAGCUUUUCGCCACGCUUUAAAAGCGUGGCAAUAGACGUGUUUUCUUGUAGUGUUUAUUUUCUAAUGGAAUAUAUUUUAGGAUUGUGUUGUUUAUUAUAUUUCAGGAUUGCAUUGCUCGAACAAACAGGAAUUGGAAAGAAUGCCAGCCACAUUUGUUUCUUCAAUUUCAAUCACUUCUCGAUUAUUUGAUUCUUUUUCAUGAGGUUUUUUUUUCUACAAGGAAGAUCAUUGUUAUUUUGUUGAAUGUUACUUAAUUUUGUUUUCUUUACCAAAGUCUCAAUGCAAUUAUCUUAUUAACUCAGCCGAUUUUGGAGGUUAUGUUAGUUACUUCUACACCUAAUGUUUACAAAUUUAGAGCAUAAACACUUGUUUAAUUUAAAGCUUCAACUUACAACUACUCUAGUGAAGGUUUUGAAUUGAAUGAUUGGUUUUAUUUAUAUUACCCUUGAGAUGAUUUCUCUUAUGAAAAUACAUGAAGCAUGUCCAUAGAUGUCAGAACAACAUGCAUUUAACUGUUUCUCAAUCAAUCUCAUGAUGUGUGUCAGGGACACUAAAAGAUGCCAAAGGAGUCGCCAUCUCUAAGGUUCCUUUACCUUAUCAUCUUGCCUUGCUCUUUACCAACAUUUUCCUGAGGAUCUUGGGAUAUUAGCAUGUGCGCUUUUUUGCUUCUACGGGUCCCAUCCCCAUCCCAAUGUGUUCACAGGGCAAUUUUUUUAAAGUUGCUACUUGUUUUCAUAAGCUAUAUUAUACACUGUUAUAAGAUAAUUUCUUAGUUAAAUCUUAUUAUAUAAUAAUUAUAUGUUGUCCCUUUUUCUUUAGUUAUUGGACAUAUGUGUGGUAACUCAUGGUUUGGACUAAUACCAUUUUGACUGUGUUUACGAGACGUGUUGUUUAUAUAUUUAAAAUUGGAUGUAAGUCAAAGAAUGAAUGAUGGUUUGAAUAUUACAAUAUGGAGUAUAUUAACUUAUUCCAUAUGGUUUGAAUGUUACUUAAUUUUAUUUUCUUUAGAAGCUCUAUAUUAUUAUUCUUCUCUCAACAUGGGACAAAGGAUUUGGGAUUUUAUUUUGUUAAUUAUUUGGUCCAACAAGUGGUAAAAGUUGAGUUGUGUUAUGAUUAAGAGGAAACCAUUUUGGCAUUACUGAUUUAGAUUUAGUGCUUAGGAUUAUGCUUUUAUUCUGGUUGCUCUGCUGUUCUUAGGUUAUUUGAUAUAAUUGUAACUAUUUUUUGAAGGAAUUGUUGAGGGACUCCAAACAAAAUUCUUUCGGCAGAAGAAAUCAUGUGAAGAUAAAAAUAAUCAUUUUAUUUCUUCUUAUUACUUUUUUGUUUGUUUCCUUCUUACAUGGUUUUAAUUUCAUUAAUUAUUAGUGCUGAUGAUGUUAUUAAUUAAUAGUAUUUAUUUAUUAGAACAGAUCUCAUAUGAGAAGACAGCCACUGAUAAUAAUAACAGAUGCAGAGUUUUAUACUUCACCAGUUUCUUGCUAUUGCUUUUGAACAAAGUUUGUUGAGGUUUCUUCUGUUUCUGGGAUUAAAGUGGGUACUAAUUUUUCUCUCACUAGUUUCUUGCUAUUGCUUUUCAACAAGCACUUGUUGAGGUAUUUUCUGGCUGAAUUUGAGGAGAUGGAGCAGAAGUCUG